GACGAACGCUGGCGGCGUGCCUAAUACAUGCAAGUCGAACGAAGCUUUUUUAACUGGUGCUUGCACCGACUUAAACAACUGAGUGGCGAACGGGUGAGUAACACGUGGGUAACCUGCCCCAAAGCGGGGGAUAACAUUUGGAAACAGAUGCUAAUACCGCAUAACCACAGAAACCACAUGGUUUCUGUGUCAAAGAUGGUUUCGGCUAUCAUUUUGGGAUGGACCCGCGGCGUAUUAGCUAGUUGGUAAGGUAAUGGCUUACCAAGGCAAUGAUACGUAGCCGAACUGAGAGGUUGAUCGGCCCCAUUGGGACUGAGACACGGCCCAAACGCCUACGGGAGGCAGCAGUAGGGAAUCUUCCACAAUGGACGAAAGUCUGAUGGAGCAACGCCGCGUGAGUGAGGAAGGUUUUCGGAUCGUAAAACUCUGUUGUCAGAGAAGAACGUGUGCGAGAGUAACUGUUCGUGCAGUGACGGUAUCUGGCCAGAGAGCCACGGCUAACUACGUGCCAGCCGCCGCCGUAA
rnacentral:rRNA from 1 species